CGGAAGUCGGGGGGGAAGUGCCGGUCCCCAACAUGGCGGCCGCCUGGCCUUCCAGGCCGGCUUCUCCAGAAACCAUGGCUGUCCAAGUCCUCGGUGUCCUGUGGUUUAUGUCAUUCACCACGGGACCUUGGGAGGCCGCCACCGGGGGCGAGACGCUUAAGUGCGAGGACCUCAAAAUGGGACAAUAUAUUUGUAAAGAUCCAAAAAUAAAUGAUGCUACACAAGAACCAGUUAACUGUACAAACUACACAGCUCACGUUUCAUGUUUCUCAGCACCCAACAUAACCUGUAAGGAUUUAAGUGGCAACGAAACACAUUUUACUGGAAAUGAAGUUGGUUUUCUCAAACCCAUAUCUUGCCGAAAUGUAAAUGGCUAUUCAUACAAAGUGGCAGGUGCAUUGUCUCUUUUUCUUGGAUGGCUGGGAGCAGAUCGGUUUUACCUUGGAUACCCUGCCUUGGGUUUGUUAAAGUUUUGCACAGUAGGGUUUUGUGGAAUUGGGAGCCUAAUUGAUUUCAUUCUUAUUUCAAUGCAGAUUGUUGGACCUUCAGAUGGAAGUAGUUACAUUAUAGAUUAUUAUGGAACCAGACUUACAAGACUGAGUAUCACUAAUGAAACAUAUAGAAAAACACAGUUCUAUCCAUAAAUAUUUUUAAAAAGAAACAUACAGAGAUUGCUUCAAGAGUAAGAAGAAAGUGUCCUGAGAUUUGAGCCUCAUGGUUGCUAUAGAGAACUUUCACUUUCAGAUCUGUCUUCGCCUUCAUAUCCAGGGGAGCCAAAGAUCACCAGGGUGUCUGUGAAACUUGGAGGCAACAUGGCUGCUUCUGAAUUUUUCCCUGUUUUUGCUUUGGGAGUGAUGCCCUGGGUUUGGAAGACUGGAUGCUGACUCAUCAAACUCACUCCAGUUAAUGUAUUUGAAGCUGGAUGGACAAGGGGAUAUGCCUAGAAGAUGCACCAGUGUCUGAAGGAAGCAGCUCCUGGACACUAGCACCAGGCCUUUCUGACUGUGUUUAGAAGGUUUUAAGAACAUGGGAAUACAUGAAACACUCUAUUCCCAUAAUACCCUGCUCUUUCUUUCUUUAUUAAUGGACAGAUCAGUUUCAAAAUUAGUGUGGUGUAGGGUCAGCAGGUGGCUUGAAAGCUAUGGUCCUGGAUCUUACAUGGCCAAUUCUGUGGUCAGAGGCCAGG